rnacentral:rRNA from 1 species
UACGGGGGGUGCAAGCGUUGUUCGGAAUUACUGGGCGUAAAGGGCGCGCAGGCGGCUCAUUUUGUCAGGCGUGAAAGCCCCGGGCUUAACCUGGGAACUGCGUUUGAUACGGAUGGGCUAGAGUUCGGGAGAGGAGAGUGGAAUUCCCAGUGUAGAGGUGAAAUUCGUAGAUAUUGGGAAGAACACCGGUGGCGAAGGCGGCUCUCUGGACCGAGACUGACGCUGAGGCGCGAAAGCGUGGGGAGCAAACAGG